AACGAACGCUGGCGGCAGGCCUAACACAUGCAAGUCGAACGCUGCAGCAAUGCAGAGUGGCAGACGGGUGAGUAACGCGUGGGAACCUUCCCAGUGGUACGGAAUAGCCCAGGGAAACUUGGGGUAAUACCGUAUACGCCCCUAGGGGGAAAGAUUUAUCGCCAUUGGAUGGGCCCGCGUCGGAUUAGCUAGUUGGUGAGGUAACGGCUCACCAAGGCGACGAUCCGUAGCUGGUCUGAGAGGAUGAUCAGCCACACCUGGGACUGAGACAACGGCCCAGACUCCUACGGGAGGCAG
rnacentral:rRNA from 1 species